GAUCAUGGCUCAGGAUGAACGCUGGCGGCGUGCUUAACAUAUGCAAGUCGAACGAAGCACUUCAUAAAGUUUACUUUAAGAAGUGACUUAGUGGCGGACGGGUGAGUAACGCGUGGGUAACCUGCCUUACACAGGGGGAUAACAGUUAGAAAUGGCUGCUAAUACCGCAUAAAACAGCAGAGUCGCAUGACUCAACUGUCAAAGAUUUAUCGGUGUAAGAUGGACCCGCGUCUGAUUAG
rnacentral:rRNA from 1 species